GUCCUACGGGAGGCAGCAGUGAGGGAUAUUGGUCAAUGGGGGAAACCCUGAACCAGCAACGCCGCGUGAGGGAAGACGGUUUUCGGAUUGUAAACCUCUGUCCUCUGUGAAGAUAAUGACGGUAGCAGAGGAGGAAGCUCCGGCUAACUACGUGCCAGCAGCCGCGGUAAUACGUAGGGAGCGAGCGUUGUCCGGAUUUACUGGGUGCAAAGGGAGCGUAGGCGGGAUGGCAAGUUGGGUGUUAAAUCUACCGGCUCAACUGGUAGUCGCACUCAAAACUGCUAUUCUUGAGUGAAGUAGAGGCA
rnacentral:rRNA from 1 species